rnacentral:lncRNA from 1 species
GUUCCACAUGUGAGUGUUGCCUUCCCUCCUGCCUUAUGAAUUUCAGAUCAGCAGUGGAGCUGCAGGUCCAAAUGAGGACCCACAUAGUCAACACGUUAGUCAAGUGGAGAGACAUCAUCCUCCUUGUCUGGUGCCACAUCAAGGGCCUGUUGUCCCAGGAGAGACUUGUUAAAGAUGAAGGGCAGAGCCACCAGGUUCGUGCUGUGUGGCGUGAAAUGGCUGAGUGCAUCACCCUCCAGCUCAGCCCUGAGCCAAAUUCGGAGGCCUCCGUUGGAUUGAGGAACCCACCUGAGAUGGAGCACGCUGUUCCCCCAGAGUAA